AUUGAACGCUGGCGGAAUGCUUUACACAUGCAAGUCGAACGGCAGCACGGACUUCGGUCUGGUGGCGAGUGGCGAACGGGUGAGUAAUGUAUCGGAACGUGCCCAGUCGUGGGGGAUAACGUAGUGAAAAUUACGCUAAUACCGCAUACGAUCUAUGGAUGAAAGCGGGGGAUCGCAAGACCUCGCGCGAUUGGAGCGGCCGAUAUCAGAUUAGGUAGUUGGUGGGGUAAAGGCCCACCAAGCCAACGAUCUGUAGCUGGUGUGAGAGGACGACCAGCCCCACUGGAACUGAGACACGGUCCAGACUCCUACGGGAGGCAGCAGUGGGGAAUUUUGGACAAUGGGCGAAAGCCUGAUCCAGCCAUUCCGCGUGCAGGAUGAAGGCCCUCGGGUUGUAAACUGCUUUUGUACAGGACGAAAAGGUUUCUACUAAUACUAGGAGCUCAUGACGGUACUGUAAGAAUAAGCACCGGCUAACUACGUGCCAGCCGCCGCCGUAA
rnacentral:rRNA from 1 species